GAUGAACGCUGGCGGCGUGCCUAAUACAUGCAAGUCGAGCGAACAGACGAGGAGCUUGCUCCUCUGACGUUAGCGGCGGACGGGUGAGUAACACGUGGAUAACCUACCUAUAAGACUGGGGUAACUUCGGGAAACCGGAGCUAAUACCGGAUAAUAUAUUGAACCGCAUGGUUCAAUAGUGAAAGACGGUUUUGCUGUCACUUAUAGAUGGAUCCGCGCCGCAUUAGCUAGUUGGUAAGGUAACGGCUUACCAAGGCAACGAUGCGUAGCCGACCUGAGAGGGUGAUCGGCCACACCGGAACUGAGACACGGUCCAGACUCCUACGGGAGGCAGCAGUAGGGAAUCUUCCGCAAUGGGCGAAAGCUUGACGGAGCAACGCCGCGUGAGUGAUGAAGGUCUUCGGAUCGUAAAACUCUGUUAUUAGGGAAGAACAAAUGUGUAAGUAACUAUGCACGUCUUGACGGUACCUAAUCAGAAAGCCACGGCUAACUACGUG
rnacentral:rRNA from 1 species